GACGAACGCUGGCGGCGUGCCUAAUACAUGCAAGUAGGACGCAGUUGCGAACGGGUGAGUAACGCGUAGGUAACUACCUAUUAGAGGGGGAUAACUAUUGGAAACGAUAGCUAAUACCGCAUACUAGUAGAUGGACCUGCGUGGUAUUAGCUAGUAGGUAGGGUAAUGGCCUACCUAGGCAACGAAACAUAGCCGACCUUGGGAGGUGAUGGGGCAAACGGUGACGGAAACAAGGCCCAGACUCCUGUGGGAGGCAACAGGAGGGAAUGUUCGGGAAUGGGAGGAACACUGACCGUGCAACGGCGAGUGAGUGAGGAAGGUUUUCGGAUCGUAGGGCUCUGUUGUUAAGGAAGCGGUACUUAACCAGAAAGGAACGGCUAACUACGGACCAGCAGCCGCGGUAAUAC
rnacentral:rRNA from 1 species